rnacentral:rRNA from 1 species
AGAUUGAACGCUGGCGGCAGGCCUAACACAUGCAAGUCGAGCGGCAGCACGGGUACUUGUACCUGGUGGCGAGCGGCGGACGGGUGAGUAAUGCCUAGGAAUCUGCCUGAUAGUGGGGGAUAACGCUCGGAAACGGACGCUAAUACCGCAUACGUCCUACGGGAGAAAGCGAGGGGACCCUCGGGCCUCGCGCCAUUAGAUGAGCCGUAGGUC